UGGCGGCGUGCCUAUACAUGCAGUCGAGCGGACAGAUGGGAGCUUGCUCCCUGAUGUUAGCGGCGGACGGGUGAGUAACACGUGGGUAACCUGCCUGUAAGACUGGGAUAACUCCGGGAAACCGGGGCUAAUACCGGAUGGUUGUUUGAACCGCAUGGUUCAAACAUAAAAGGUGGCUUCGGCUACCACUUACAGAUGGACCCGCGGCGCAUUAGCUAGUUGGUGAGGUAACGGCUCACCAAGGCAACGAUGCGUAGCCGACCUGAGAGGGUGAUCGGCCACACUGGGACUGAGACACGGCCCAGACUCCUACGGGAGGCAGCAGUAGGGAAUCUUCCGCAAUGGACGAAAGUCUGACGGAGCAACGCCGCGUGAGUGAUGAAGGUUUUCGGAUCGUAAAGCUCUGUUGUUAGGGAAGAACAAGUACCGUUCGAAUAGGGCGGUACCUUGACGGUACCUAACCAGAAAGCCACGGCUAACUACGUGCCAGCAGCCGCGGUAAUACGUAGGUGGCAA
rnacentral:rRNA from 1 species